GCAGGGUGAGGUGGCGCACACCUGUAAUCCCAGCAACUCAGAAGGCUGAGGCAGGAGGAUCACAAGUUUGAGGUCAUCCUCAGUAACUUAGUGAGGCCCUAAGCCACUGAGUGAAAACCUGUCUCAA
rnacentral:sRNA from 1 species